rnacentral:misc_RNA from 1 species
UGUGAAAAGUAUAAGUCGUAACAAGGUUUCCGUAGGUGAACCUGCGGAAGGAUCAUUGCCGAAUCCUACGAUAGUAGAAUGACCCGCUAACAUGUAAAAAACAUUGGGCAAGCAUCGGGGGGGCCUUGCGUCCCCUGUUUGCAAACCCAAGGUAGGUGUCCCCCGACACCAGCCAACGAAAUCAACCGGGCGCUGAAUGCGUCAAGGAAGUUAAGAACGAAUUGUUCGUUCGCUUCUCCUUUGCGGGAAGCGGCGUCAGUCCGAACCACGAACGACUCUCGGCAACGGAUAUCCCGGCUCUCGCAUCGAUGAAGAACGUAGCGAAAUGCGAUACUUGGUGUGAAUUGCAGAAUCCCGUGAACCAUCGAGUCUUUGAACGCAAGUUGCGCCUGAAGCCAUUAGGCUGAGGGCACGUCUGCCUGGGUGUCACGCAUCGCGUUGCCCUUGACCAAACAUCUCUUUAGGAGAUUUUCUGGUUUGGGGUGGAUUUUGGCCUCCCGUGCCUUGUAGCAUGGAUGGCUCAAAAAUGAGUCUUUGGCAAUGGAUGUCACGACAUCGGUGGUUGUAAGAAGACCUUCUUGUCUUGUCGUGCAUGCCUGUUGCCUUAGAUAGCUCAAGGGCCCUUAGGUGUCACAAAAUAUGUGCGCUUCGACAGUGACCCCAGGUCAGGCGGGACUACCCGCUGAGUUUAAGCAUAUCAAUAGGGGGAGGGA